CCCUUAGAUGCUCUGGGCCGCACGCGCGCUACACUGGUCGAUGCAACGAGUUUCUUUCCUUGGCCGACAGGCCCGGGCAAUCUUUGAACGCUGAUCGUGAUGGGGAUAGACUUUUGCAAUUUUUGGUCUUCAACGAGGAAUUCCUAGUAAACGCAAGUCAUCAACUUGCAUUGAUUACGUCCCUGCCCUUUGUACACACCGCCCGUCGCACCUACCGAUUGAAUGGUCCGGUGAAGCCUCCGGAUUGGCGUGCACCCUCGGGUGCUGCCGAGAAGUUGGCUAAACCUUACCAUUUAGAGGAAGGUGAANUCGUAACA
rnacentral:rRNA from 1 species